rnacentral:rRNA from 1 species
CAGCAGUCGCCGCGGGAACACGGAGGGUGCAAGCGUUAAUCGGAAUUACUGGGCGUAAAGCGCACGCAGGCGGUCUGUCAAGUCAGAUGUGAAAUCCCCGGGCUCAACCUGGGAACUGCAUUCAAAACUGGCAAGCUAGAGUAUGGUAGAGGGUGGUGGAAUUUCCUGUGUAGCGGUGAAAUGCGUAGAUAUAGGAAGGAACACCAGUGGCGAAGGCGACCACCUGGACUGAUACUGACACUGAGGUGCGAAAGCGUGGGGAGCAAACAGGAUUAGAUACCCCGGUAGUCCCUGUCUCUUAUAC